UGCUUAUGAUGAAUAAAAAAAGAAAUAAGAGUAGUGGACAGGAGUGAUUUCUGAGAAUUUUUACACUGAGGCA
rnacentral:snoRNA from 1 species